UUUUAUGGAGAGUUUGAUCCUGGCUCAGGAUGAACGCUGGCGGCGUGCCUAAUACAUGCAAGUCGAGCGAACGGACGAGAAGCUUGCUUCUCUGAUGUUAGCGGCGGACGGGUGAGUAACACGUGGAUAACCUACCUAUAAGACUGGGAUAACUUCGGGAAACCGGAGCUAAUACCGGAUAAUAUUUUGAACCGCAUGGUUCAAAAGUGAAAGACGGUCUUGCUGUCACUUAUAGAUGGAUCCGCGCUGCAUUAGCUAGUUGGUAAGGUAACGGCUUACCAAGGCAACGAUGCAUAGCCGACCUGAGAGGGUGAUCGGCCACACUGGAACUGAGACACGGUCCAGACUCCUACGGGAGGCAGCAGUAGGGAAUCUUCCGCAAUGGGCGAAAGCCUGACGGAGCAACGCCGCGUGAGUGAUGAAGGUCUUCGGAUCGUAAAACUCUGUUAUUAGGGAAGAACAUAUGUGUAAGUAACUGUGCACAUCUUGACGGUACCUAAUCAGAAAGCCACGGCUAACUACGUGCCAGCAGCCGCGGUAAUACGUAGGUGGCAAGCGUUAUCCGGAAUUAUUGGGCGUAAAGCGCGCGUAGGCGGUUUUUUAAGUCUGAUGUGAAAGCCCACGGCUCAACCGUGGAGGGUCAUUGGAAACUGGAAAACUUGAGUGCAGAAGAGGAAAGUGGAAUUCCAUGUGUAGCGGUGAAAUGCGCAGAGAUAUGGAGGAACACCAGUGGCGAAGGCGACUUUCUGGUCUGUAACUGACGCUGAUGUGCGAAAGCGUGGGGAUCAAACAGGAUUAGAUACCCUGGUAGUCCACGCCGUAAACGAUGAGUGCUAAGUGUUAGGGGGUUUCCGCCCCUUAGUGCUGCAGCUAACGCAUUAAGCACUCCGCCUGGGGAGUACGACCGCAAGGUUGAAACUCAAAGGAAUUGACGGGGACCCGCACAAGCGGUGGAGCAUGUGGUUUAAUUCGAAGCAACGCGAAGAACCUUACCAAAUCUUGACAUCCUUUGACAACUCUAGAGAUAGAGCCUUCCCCUUCGGGGGACAAAGUGACAGGUGGUGCAUGGUUGUCGUCAGCUCGUGUCGUGAGAUGUUGGGUUAAGUCCCGCAACGAGCGCAACCCUUAAGCUUAGUUGCCAUCAUUAAGUUGGGCACUCUAAGUUGACUGCGGUGGACAAACCGGAGGAAGGUGGGGAUGUCGUCAAA
rnacentral:rRNA from 1 species